rnacentral:rRNA from 1 species
GACGAACGCUGGCGGCGUGCUUAACACAUGCAAGUCGAACGGAAAGGCCCUGCUUUUGUGGGGUGCUCGAGUGGCGAACGGGUGAGUAACACGUGAGUAACCUGCCCUUGACUUUGGGAUAACUUCAGGAAACUUGGGCUAAUACCGGAUAGGAGCUCCUGCUGCAUGGUGGGGGAUGGAAAGUUUCGGCGGUUGGGGAUGGACUCGCGGCUUAUCAGCUUGUUGGUGGGGUAGUGGCUUACCAAGGCCUUGACGGGUAGCCGGCCUGAGAGGGUGACCGGCCACAUUGGGACUGAGAUACGGCCCAGACGCCUACGGGAGGCAGCAGUGGGGAAUAUUGCACAAUGGGCGGAAGCGUGAUGCAGAAACGCCGGGUGUGGGAUGACGGUCUUCGGGUUGUAAACCGCUUUCGCCUGUGACGAAGCGUGAGUGACGGUAAUGGGUAAAGAAGCACCGGCUAACUACGUG